CUGUCAAAGGCUACAGAGCGCACACUGCUCCAGUUCUUCCUUUCUUCCUUGCUCUCAUGUCUCCAGCUGACUGCUUUCCUAGUCACAGGGGAAACAUUUAAUUAGGAAACCCCUAUGGAGCAGAGGGAGAACCCAGCAGGCAAGGAGUCAAAAUCUCUGCAAUCAGCAGUGAUAAAGGGCUGUUAUUUUGACAAGCGGGAUAAAAAUAAAAAGCAUAAAAGGCUGCAGCGGGAGGCCUGAAAUGGACGCUGAGCUUUCUCUUUCCUCAGAGUGGAUUUGUUUGCUAUGGUUUUCUGUGAUGAAGGAACGGCUCUGAUUAUGUCAAUAAAUGGCUUCUUCAUUUGUGAAUCAGCAUCCACUCAACACUAGAAAAGCAUCCAAACCAAAUACAGAAGUUGGAAGCUGCUGAGCUUCAGCACACACUAACCAGUGUUCUGCGGGAGUCAUCUUUAUUUGUUAGAUGCUUCAGGGGUCUACCAGACAUCAUACCUGAUGCUUCACUCUACACUGCUGUAUUUCAGUGUUCUGGAUAUGCCAGCUUCUCAGUGCCUCCAGCAUGGAUUUGGGAGAAGAUGGACAUAUUUUCUCUGCAUGCACUGCUUGGAGAAGAGCUACUGCAGCUGUACUCAAGGAAAAUUUAUGGAGAAGACUGGAUUCUUGAGCCUGACCAAACCAGCACAGCUGUUACCACAAGGACAUCUGUCUGCAUCAAACUGCUCUGGAAACGUUGAGAUCAGCAAAGAUGUGUCAGGGAUUGCCCAUGUAGGGUGAUCUGAACUGCAGAUCCUGAAGAAGGCAGUCUUCCUUCACUACCAGAAUGCCAACAAAAUCUUUGCAUACAAUUUUGUGUGGCUAACGUCACAGGUUAACAUCAGUGUGGACAUGUGUGGACAGCAAAAGGAACCGGCCAUAAUGUUCCCAAAGAAAUGCAAAAAGUGGCUUUGAAAAGACAACCAGCUUCCUAUAGCACAUGGUCUGAAGAGUGCAGUUGGAAUGAUUCUUGGACGGGUGCAUGCUGAACUCCCUGUUUAACAACAGACUUAAAUCUGUCCUUUUGAUCAUUUUUGUCUGUGGAACAAACUGCAGGGGGAAAAAAACAAAGCAUCAGCACUGUGCUUUUGCUGUACCUGACAUAAAGAAUGUACCAAUUUGUUUCGCGAUGCAUCUGAAAAGGCUGUUUCUUUUUUUUUAACCUGUCAUUAACACAUUUUUUGUUAUAGCAUACAAUGCUAAUUCAACAGAUUUCAGAGGGUGAAGACUUAUUCAUGUUCACACAAUGCUCUGGGCUUGGAGAAAGCUGAUACCAUGUGUUCAGUAAUUUUCACCUUCUCACAUAAGCAGACAGACAUUUCACAGGAAGAAAGUUUGUGGAGAAAAGCAUGAUAUAACAGCAAAUGAGCAAUAGUAUUUUUUGCUUCAUCUAUUAUACACUGUUAUUCCAGUGGUUUAUAAACCACAAGUCUUGGUUUACAGCAGCUCAGUCUGAAAAGGAAUUACCCCCUCCCUCUUCAGCCUCACCUUCAGACAUGGAUCUCACUCUAGAAGAAAGCAAUCUGAGCCAGUGAGUCUUGCUGUGAGGACACAGCACUAGGUGUGGUACCAGCCUUCAAUCUUUACAGUCUAAGCAGUUCUGGCAAACUACUGCGCCUCUGUAUUUUCUCAUUUCAGCUGAACUUGACAGUCACUUUAUCCCUGCAGUGCCCAUUACAUGUAAAUCCUUCCAACAGUAACUUAUCAGGAAGGCAAUGUUACUUCACAGGGAAGUUCACUUUGAACAGAUGCUUUAAAAAGGCCACGCUUCACUCUUGAGAUAUGCUGAAUGGUCUCAUUUUCUUCUUUUCCUUUCUCCUUCUCAUUGUAAGGAGCUUGUUUACUUUUUGUAAACUAGUGGUAUUAUUCUGAUUUUCACCAUGAUUACUAAAACUGUCAAGACCACUGAAGCAUUACAUCAGGAGAGGCAGCUGACACUUGGGAAAUGUGGGUUGCAUUACGUGGGUGCUGUGCAACCAUGGUUUCACAAGCUGGUUCUAAACACACAGCCCCACUAGGAACCUAACUAGUGUGGCUUCAGUCUGCAAGUUUGAUGAGCACUCUGAGGAUGAACAAACUGAACUAGAAUACAAGCAGGUUUUAAUCUGUUCACCUACUGAAGGGUAGGUCAUUCAUUUUGAAGCUAGACUCUGGAUACUUCCAAAUCUGUUUCAAAAACAAUAAUGUUGACCUUCACAGCCUCUGAAAUACGUUUGGCAGGGAAACAGUAUUGUAUCUGAAAGAGAUGGAAAAUCAUGCACGCGUUACCUAGAAAAUGAGAGUAGACAGGGAUCCUAAAAAUCUCUGAAGUUCGCUGUCAUUAUAGUUAGGAAAGAGCUCUGGUGAUUACUAUGUGCUAAAUGUGAGUUGCAUUGGUUAAGGAAUAGUUACAACUUUCUGUGUCAUUUUUGCUGACUAUUUAUGAAAAUGUUGGUUUAUAUUUAUUAGGCUUUCUACCUUGAUGGGAGCUGAACUGAGUGAAUUAAUAGGCUGCUUUCCAUUUGUGACUUCUGAUUCCAUGAAUAACAUUUUUUUGUGAUGGAAAAAUAAGACAAACAUCAAAAGAUGCCUAUGCAGGUAAUCAAUCAUUUUAUCAGAUAAUAACCAUACAUGUAAUAUAAUAUUGAAACAUUUUCAGAAGAGAUUGCUACUACUGUAUUUCAGAGUGAUAGCUCAUCAGUUAGUUACAAUUUAAAAUAAAUUCAAAUACAAAU
rnacentral:lncRNA from 1 species